UCCGUAGGUGGAUAAUUAAGUCAGAGGUGAAAUCCUGCAGCUCAACUGUAGAAUUGCCUUUGAUACUGGUUAUCUUGAGUCAUUAUGAAGUGGUUAGAAUGUGUAGUGUAGCGGUGAAAUGCAUAGAUAUUACACAGAAUACCGAUUGCGAAGGCAGAUCACUAAUAAUGUACUGACACUGAUGGACGAAAGCGUGGGGAGCGAACAGGAUUAGAUACCCGGUAGUCC
rnacentral:rRNA from 1 species